UAACUAUGUCCAGGAAGGUCCAGGGUGAACCACAGGCCCUCAGCAGGCCCCUUCUGGCUUGGGGCCUUCCAGGCAGAGGAAGGCUGCCUAGGACAAGGCCCUGAAGACGUAAAAGGCAGAGGGACAUUUGUCACAGAGCAGGAGAUGACUCAGAAAUGGAAGGAGAAGGCCACAUGAAGACAUAAGCAGAAAUUGGAGUUAUGUGGCCACAAGAAAUGCCCACAGCCACCAGAAGCCGGGAGAGACAGAGUCUCUCUACAUCACCCUGGGUAGAGUGCUAUGGCAUCACAGCUCACAGCAACCUCAGACUCUUGGGCUUAAGUGAUUCUCUUGCCCCAGCCUCCCAAGUAGCUGGGACUACAGACGCCCGCCACAACACCCAGCUAUUUUUUAUUAUUGUUGUUGCAGUUGUCAUUGUUGUUUACAGGCCCAGGCCAGGUUCUAACUCGCCAUUCUCAGUGCAUGUGGCUGGUGCCGUAACCACUGUGCUAUAGGCGCUGAGCCUUGAAUCCUGUUUUUAAGUAAGUAUUGUUCUUUCUUCUUCUUUAUAUCACUAUUCUAUCUCUUUUAAUCCCUCCUGAGAUAAAUAGAUACCUCUGGUAAUGGGAGGAAAAUCUCAUAAAAGGAAUAUGAGAGAAAACACACAUUGAGAUAUUUCAAGGAAAUUACCUACAUUACACUAAUAUUCAUACAAACAUCUAGAGGAAGAACUUCUGAACUGUUAAUGGUGGUCACCCCUGGGGAAGAGAAUUUGGGGGGAAAAGAUUUCCCCUUCCAGGUUGUGCAUUCAUUCCUGCAGUGUCUGAAUUUUUAGAAUAAGCAUAAAUUACAUUUGUAACUUAAAAUCCUAAAGAUUAAAGGUAAUCCAAGAUAUCAAGAAUUCCCCUGGCAUAUGUUUGGCAGGAAGUUUAUCUGCCAGACAAAGAAAUGACUCCCAAAACAAUACAUUUCUUUAGAAUUUAGACAUAGAUUUUCAACAACUUAACAAUGGUCUGAUCCUAGCUGGUCCAAAAGAGUGGACGUUCCCUGCCACAAGAAAACCUCAGCUAAAGCUCCACCAGAUGGGAGUUUGCAGGACUCCUUGGAGUCAGGAGGGGUCUGCAGCUCUGAGGUCUGAGCCUAGCUCUUCCCUCCAUUCCUCCCAUCCCAGGGUCUCAGGCAGAAGGGACCACACCUAUGUGAAGUCUGAA